AUUGAACGCUGGCGGCAUGCCUUACACAUGCAAGUCGAACGGUAACAGGUCUUCGGAUGCUGACGAGUGGCGAACGGGUGAGUAAUACAUGGGAACGUGCCUAGUAGUGGGGGAUAACUACUCGAAAGAGUGGCUAAUACCGCAUGAGAUCUACGGAUGAAAGCAGGGGAUCGCAAGACCUUGUGCUACUAGAGCGGCCGAUGGGAGAUUAGGUAGUAGGUGGGAUAAAAGCUUACCAAGCCGACGAUCUGUAGCUGGUCUGAGAGGACGAUCAGCCACACUGGGACUGAGACACGGCCCAGACUCCUACGGGAUGCAGCAGUGGGGAAUUUUGGACAAUGGCCGCAAGCCUGAUCCAGCAAUGCCGCGUGCAGGAUGAAGGCCUUCGGGUUGUAAACUGCUUUUGUACGGAACGAAAAGCCCUGGGUUAAUACCCUGGGGUCAUGACGGUACCGUAAGAAUAAGCACCGGCUAACUACGUGCCAGCCGCCGCGGUAA
rnacentral:rRNA from 1 species